rnacentral:piRNA from 1 species
UGAUGACUGUCACCUCUCUUUACUG